CCUACGGGUGGCAGCAGUGAGGAAUAUUGGUCAAUGGCCGCGAGGCUGAACCAGCCAAGUAGCGUGAGGGAUGACUGCCCUAUGGGUUGUAAACCUCUUUUAUACAGGGAUAAAGUGCUCCACGUGUGGCUUUUUGCAUGUACCUUAUGAAUAAGGAUCGGCUAACUCCGUGCCAGCAGCCGCGGUAAUACGGAGGGUCCGGGCGUUAUCCGGAUUUAUUGGGUUUAAAGGGAGCGUAGGUGGGUUGUUAAGCUAGGUGUGAAAGUUUGUGGCUCAACCAUACAAUUGCAGUUGAUACUGGCGGUCUUGAGUGCGGGUGAGGUAGGCGGAAUGCGUGGUGUAGCGGUGAAAUGCUUAGAUAUCACGAAGAACUCCGAUUGCGAAGGCAGCUUACUGAAGUGCAACUGACGUUGAUGCUCGAAAGUGUGGGUAUCGAACAGGAUUAGAUACCCGGGUAGUC
rnacentral:rRNA from 1 species